AUUACAAUGUAAAUGGACACAGACUGGAAGUGCAAGGAAUUUUAUAAGCAGAUUCUGCAAAACCAGAAACUUAAGGAGAACCAAAAUAUCAAGGACACAAAAUUCAAGAGGGACAUGAGUUUGAUGCCUCGUCGGGGAACUGAGAUCCCACAAGCUGCUCAGUGUGGCCAAAAAAAAGAAGAAACACUCUGAAUGUGAAGGCUCAGGUGUGCUUCCCUGUCUGGCAAUAGCCCAUACAUGUUACCACACAUCAUUGCUGGGAGAAUUAAGCACCUUCUGCACAAUUCCACUUGAAAGAGGCAACUGGGGACUCAUGCCUGGCCUCCCCCAGACUCUGCCCCAUGUGCCUUUUCCCUUAGCUGAUUUUAAUCUCUAUCCUUGUCCUGUGAUAUAACCAUGAGUAUAAAAGCUUUCAGUGA